CCUACGGGAGGCAGCAGUGGGGAAUAUUGGGCAAUGGGCGCAAGCCUGACCCAGCAACGCCGCGUGAAGGAAGAAGGCUCUCGGGUUGUAAACCUCUUUUGUCAGGGACGCAGAAAGUGACGGUACUUCACGAAUAAGACACGGCUAACAACGGGCUAGCAGCCGCGGUAAUACGGAGGUGGCAAGCGUUAUUCGGAUUUACUGGGUGUAAAGGGCGUGUAGGCGGGACUGCAAGUCAGAUGUGAAAACCACGGGCUCAACCCGUGGCCUGCAUAUGAAACUGUAGUUCUUGAGUACUGGAGAGGGAGACGGAAUUCCUGGUGUAGCAGUGAAAUGCGUAGAUAUUAGGAGGAACACCAGUGGCGAAGGCGGUCUGCUGGACAGCAACUGACGCUGAGGCGCGAAGGCGAGGGGAGCGAACGGGAUUAGAUACCCGUGUAGUC
rnacentral:rRNA from 1 species